GAGGUUGUGGCUCAGUGGUGGAGCGCUUGCCUAGCAUGUGUGAGGCACUGGGUUCCAUUCUCAGCACCACA
rnacentral:tRNA from 1 species